rnacentral:rRNA from 1 species
UCCAGACUCCUACGGGAGGCAGCAGUGGGGAAUAUUGCACAAUGGGGGGAACCCUGAUGCAGCGACGCCGCGUGGGUGAAGGAGUAUUUCGGUAUGUAAAGCCCUAUCAGCAGGGAAGAACAAUGACGGUACCUGACUAAGAAGCACCGGCUAAAUACGUGCCAGCAGCCGCGGUAAUACGUAUGGUGCAAGCGUUAUCCGGAUUUACUGGGUGUAAAGGGAGCGCAGGCGGCGCGUUAAGCCUGGUGUGAAAGCCCGCGGCCCAACCGCGGGACUGCAUUGGGAACUGGCGCGCUGGAGUGCCGGAGGGGUAGGCGGAAUUCCUAGUGUAGCGGUGAAAUGCGUAGAUAUUAGGAGGAACACCAGUGGCGAAGGCGGCUUGCUGGACGAUGACUGACGUUGAGGCUCGAAAGCGUGGGGAGCAAACAGGAUUAGAUACCCGCGUAG